rnacentral:lncRNA from 1 species
GACGGAUCGGCAUAGGAAAGAAACGGAGCCAUUAACUGACCGGUGAACAGAAGAAAUGACCUCGCGAUCGCGCCGUGACAAGAAUCCGCAACCAAUGUUGAUCAAUGCUGCUGCAGUUCACGAGUUUAAUGCGAUCGAUGGAGAAUUUAAAAUCGCGAAAGUUCUCUAAAUGGUCAGUGAUGACUCACUCUUCCGAUAAUAUCACCGACGACAUUAUUAUCAGAAAACGGACCUACGGACCGAAUUAAUUUUCUCAGACACGAGCGGCAACUCGAUCGCGACCGCGUGGGCGAAAUUAGGUGUUCUCCAUUAGAGCGGUUCGAUCCGUUUACAUUCACCGACCGUAUGAUAGUGUGCACGAAAUCAGAAUACAGAAUACAGAAUACAUAAUGAGAAAGUCCAAGUCAUAUUGCAUGGAAAUACGAGACGACGACUGCUUUUCAAUUCAUAUGCCGAAGCUGCUCGUAUCGUCGUUACAUUUCCGCGAGGAGACGCACGCAACAAGAAGCCGGGUAGUCGCGGUGGUCGGCGGCCGUCAUUGAUCUCCUGUUAGAAUCGGAUCACUUCGAUGUAACAAGAUAAAUAGUCAGCGGGACACCGUCGGUGGUCGAGGGCGCGGAUCGCGGAGUCAUGCUGACUAUGUAUCUGAUCGAGAGAACCAAGUGCGCGCACGGUUGUCCGAUCCCGGGCGUACUUAACGUGUACACCGUUGAACAUUCUCUGAUCGCACGGCCAGGCCGAUGGGACACUUCUCGAUUCUCGAUUGACAGAAACUCGUCGAUCGUAGCGUGAGCUAGGAGUUAAAUAUUGUAAUUACUGGUAAUUGUAAAUACUGGUAAUUCUAUCCUCUGGCGUAACGAUAUUGCUUCACGUGGAUAAAAUAGCGAGCGAAUUAUAAUCGAUUUACGCUACGACGAUGAGAAAAGCGAUAGAUGAUUGACUAAGAAUCACCGAAGCAAGAACAGAAUCGGAUUGCGCAUCCAUCUAACCGCAAAUCUCACGACCUAACGACAAAUUCUCGCUUUAAUGUUUCUCAUAGCGCGCUCACUGGCGGGGAACCCCCCAGGCUUCCGAACAGCGCGAGCCCGAUCGGCUUUUUAUCCCGUGCCGGUUUUUGCACGAUCAUCGGGACUUUCGUCACGGCAACACCCGGGCACGUGACGCCAUGAACACGGUGUUACAGGUGUUCGCGCCCAUCCACAAUCUCGACUAUGAUGACAUCCUUUCGAAUCGAUUCGUCAGACUUUCCCUCUCUCCUGGACUUUUAUCGCAACGCCUCUGCCACCCGCGAGUGUGAAAUGGUAACGUUCUGGGAAAACGAUUGCACGAGACUAUCGGCCAACUGGCCGGUUCGUUCUACUUCGAGCCGCCAUCGUUCGUUUCUUCGUCGCUUACCGACGCGUUUCGCGUUUUUGUAUCCUGCGGCCGGUCGAAGACGGCCGCCAAUAACUUCGUUAAAUGUUUUUACUCAGAAUGCAGAAUCGAAGGUGGUGCUCCGGAAGUGCUUUGACACAAAACGUUUAAGCAGAUUUCUUUUUUCCACGGGAUCUCGGGAGCAUAGUUAUUGCGCCCGCAAUGUCGUUUUAAUUAUUUAAAAUGUUUCUUGACGUCUUAAAUUUUUAAGAAUAACAUAUUGAAGUUUUCGAGAAGUAUUGAAGUACGGUAGUGAUAAAUAUACCUUGAAUACAAUCGAAAUGUAUUAUAACUCUUUAGAAAAUAGGCGGAAGAAAGAAACGAUCGAUUCAAAUAAAAACAUUGAGAUUACAGAAGCUUCUGAUAGGGCGGCGAUUGGUAUCCACAUCGUUGCAAACACGGCCACGAUUAUAAGUGGUCCAGAUAACAAAAAAUAUCUAGUAAAACAAGCGAAGUGUGAUCGGUUACGCGCGAGAGGGUGGGCAUAAACGAUGAAAGGGGUGGCCCAGGGGUAUUGGCGAGGAGCUCGUCUGCUCGGUGAACCGUGGAUUAAGAUAAACCCUUCAUCGGUUUCUUGUCGAACGAUUCCUUCUCGUCCUUUUGUUGGCGCAGUCCGUAGAUAGCGCCGGCUUAAAGUACUUUCCGUCCUCGCGCAGAAAUUAUUUAACGCCGGUAUAUCUGCCCGACGGUGCGCGCGAAAGAUCCUCAACACGAUAGAAAGUAAUAGAAAGUGUGGAAGAGGAACAAAUGCGAGAGGAGUAAGUUUGAGAUUUGCAUUACCGCGGGGAAUAAAAAUUACUCACGCGAAAGCACGGAAAAGCGGAAAGUCUGCAAUUUUUACUUCUAGAAAUCUGAUAUCUCUUAUGGCGCAAUUUGUACAUUAAUAAUUACUGAAUUGAAUAUGAAGUAAUUCUAAAUAACUACAUAAGAAAAACUAGAUUUCAAAAAAUAUAAAUAUUCUUUCUAUUUUAAUAUUAAUUAUCAAACAAGCUUUCUCUUUAUAAAAUUCCUUUUUAAAAUAUUCCUUAACGAGUUUCUGGAUGAUAAAUUUCUAUCAAGUAAAACAUUCCACAAGGAAAUAUUCCGACGUAGAUGUCAUAGAUGACGCAUUGUGAUACUUUUUUCAUCUUCAUGGCGAGAACAGAUAUCGGUUUCAUGUUGUCGAUCGCGGAUUCCUUGCAUUUAGUAAUGGCGCUCGUUAAAGCCGCUAUAAAUAUGUAAGAUGAUACAUGCCAGAAUGAUUAAAGAGAGUAUUUGCUCCA